rnacentral:rRNA from 1 species
GACGAACGCUGGCGGCGUGCUUAACACAUGCAAGUCGAACGGUAAGGCUCCAGCUUGCUGGGGUACACGAGUGGCGAACGGGUGAGUAACACGUGGGUGACCUGCCCUUCACUUCGGGAUAAGCCUGGGAAACUGGGUCUAAUACCGGAUAGGACCAUGGUGUGGAUACUGUGGUGGAAAGUUUUUUCGGUGUGGGAUGGGCCCGCGGCCUAUCAGCUUGUUGGUGGGGUAAUGGCCUACCAAGGCGGCGACGGGUAGCCGGCCUGAGAGGGUGGAUGGCCCCAUUGGGCCUGAGACACGGCCCAGACUCCUACGGGAGGCAGCAGUGGGGAAUAUUGCACAAUGGGCGGAAGCCGGAUGCAGCGACGCCGCGUGGGGGAUGACGGCCUUCGGGUUGUAAACUCCUUUCACCAUCGACGAAGGGUUUCUGACGGUAGAUGGAGAAGAGGCACCGGCUAACUACGU